ACGGGGGAAUAACCCCAAUCAUGACCCUUCAACCUCGUUUUAUCCAUCCAGUAAUCUCGAAGUGGUAAACCCUCUCUAGAACGCAAAACCACAACAAACAAAUCUAACCUCAGGACUUCGUAGAUCAAAAAGAGAGAUAACAGCAAGCUCAGCACCAAUGCGUCUUGUGCUGGCCACUCCAAGGAAAUUUGCCGCAAACGAAAUGCUGUUACACUUUUAAGCAUCACGUUUCGACUGUGGGAAUUUUUGAAAGGUGAAGUGAUGGGUAUAUAACAUGAAAGAACAGGUGCAGACUGUCAAACUACAGUUCUGAUUCUCUGCUCUUCUCUUCGCCGUUAAUUACGACUCUAAACAAUAAAACCGAAAAGAUGCGCGCUGUGAUUUUGGUAACGGUUGGUCUGCUGGCGCUGAUUGGACACCUGGAUGGACGCGCUCAUGGCGAGAAACGACGCGACAGACCAACCUGUCUCCAACGGACGGUCUCUCCCAGACUGAUCAAGGAAUUACUCAACAAAACACAAACUCUCACUAACUCUUUACCAACGUUCCCCAGAAAAAUAUAUGAAAGACUUCUGCCCAAAAUCUGUACAACGUGUGCUAAGAAACAACUUGGCAUCUGGGAAAUCAACAAGAUAUUGGAUGUCUAUUCCAACGUGUUCAACCAGAAAUCUUUGGAAGGUCUCUACCCCAAACACUUUGAGGAUCUUCUAGCAA